UCAGACCUCAUCCCUGUUAUCUCCUUAUUGUUUGUGGGAGCAGCUCCGAUGGGCCGUGUGGAGGCGGUACCAGAAAGGGCCAAGUGGCUUCCGGUGCUUUGCCUGCUGGAGACUUCAGAGUUCUUGGGCUUCCAGAUGCAUCCCACAGUCCUCCGCGGUCACAUGGCCCUCUCCCUAUGCCUCUCCACUUGCAUCUGGCCUUCCUGUAAGGACAGCAGUCCUGCUGGACUCAGGCCUCCUACUCCAGUAUGACUCCAUCUUACCUCAUUACAUCUGCUAUGGCCCCAUUUCCACCUGAGGUCCCAUUCUGAGGCCCUGGGGGUUAGGAUUCUAACUUAUUUUUUUUUUUUUUUUUGUGGGGUGGGACAGACAGUCCUACCUGUGCAGUCACUGUGGGCAAAUUACCCCCCUUCUUUGGGCUCCCAUUUCCUCCUGUAUAAAUGGGGUUCCUGGCAGUACUCACUCCAAGGAUUGUUUUAGGAAUGAGAGUAGAUGGAUGUGCAUCUUAUGUAGUGAGUGCUGUACAGGGGUCGCCUGUCGUCAGCCACUCCAAACCUGCAGUCUGGUGACACCCGGGAUCAAGGGCAGUAGCACGAGGAACAUGGGGCUGCUGCGCAAGUUGUGUUUCAAGCUGCUUAAUGGAAACUUCCACCUGCCGUGAAGGAGACACAGCCACGUGGAUGCAAGUACCUGGAGUCCGUGGAGGAGAAUGAAGUCUGCAAGCUCCUGAGUGGUGAAAGGGCUGACAAUCCCUCCCCCAAAGCCCCUUGCUGGCUACAAAUCUAGAGAUUCUGAAAACUACCUGGCCGGGGCGUGGGCACACAUCCUCCAAGGAGAGUGGGGGCUGGCUGCCGUCCUUGCUGCACUCAGGGUUUGACAGUCUCAGAGAUGAAUUGGGUCUAGUCGGCUCUCAGAUUCCACCGAGAACAGGACACAUCAAGGUGUCCUUGUGAAGAACGCCCAAGAAGCGCCUGUGGAUUUGUUUAUUCUACAGAUAACAAAGGACAAAGAGAUUUCUGUUUCUUUUAGGGCAUCCAAAUGUGCUAGCAAAAGAUA